UCCAGACAAGUCAGAUAUGAGCAAAAGUCCAGACAAGUGAGCACAGAGUCCGGUUAGGACAAUGGCAGCAGCAGGCACUGUUGCCACCGGACAGGACUGACUGUAGGGGGAACUCCCACACAGCUGCAGCUGGUUCCUGAGCGUUGGCAUGGAGCCUUCGUCGGCCUCUGUCUCCGGCACCUUCUGUUUGGCGUAUGUGAAUUGUGUCUGAGAGAUUCCCAAGGGUAUGAAGCCUAUGCGAAGCUUGGCUGGGAAAAGCCCAGCACACUGAGAUAUUCCUUAAUCAACAGUUCGCAUUGGCGUCGUCCCUUUGGAAGCUUAGACCCGUGUGAACCCCCACCUAUUGACAACAUUUGGGCCCUAAUGUGAGGCGUGAAGACGUACAGUUGAAGGACUGGAGGAAGCAGCUCUCGGGAAGCAGAUGCCUCACAUCUCCAGGAUGACAGUAAACAGGAUGCCUUUCCAGCCACACCUCUCACUGAGCGUGGACCUACCAAUGAUGUGGGAGUCCCCUCUGUGGUGCCGUGAUUAUCAUUAAUGAAUAAAGAAAGUGCCUUGGCCUGUUGAGAGGACAGAGCUUAGGUAGGCAGAGAGGACUGGACUGAAUGCUGGGUGGAAGAAAGCAGAGUCAGGGAUGCCAUGGAUCCACCGCCUGAGAUAGACAUGCUGAAACUUUGCUGACUAUAAAACAAUAAGUCUCAUGUUUCAAACUGAUAUAUAAACAGAUUCAAGGCAAUGCCCAUCAAAAUCCCAGAAAAAUUCUUCAAAGACCUCAAAAGAACAGUACUCAACUUCAUAGGAAAAGCAAAAAACCCAGGAUAGCCAAAAACAAUCCUGGGCAAUAAAAAACUUCUGGAGGCAUCACAAUCCCUGACUUCAAACUCUACUACAGAGCUACAGUACUGAAAACAGCCUGGUAUUGGCAUAAGAACAGACAGGAGGACCAAUGGAACCAAAUAGAAGACCCAGAUAUCAAUCCACACAUCUUUGAACACCUGAUCUUUGAUAAGCAAAAAAAAUCAAAUGGAAAAAAGAAAGCAUAUUUAACAAGUGCUGCUGGCAUAACUGGAUAUCAACAUGUAGAAAAAUGCAGAUAUACCCAUAUCUAUCACCACGCACAAAAAUCAAGCCCAAAUGGAUCAAAGACCUCAACAUAAAGCCAGCCACACUGAACCUUCUAGAAGAGAAAGUGGGAAGUAUACCUGAACACAAGUAACCACUUCCUAAAUAUAAAUCCAGCAGCACAGACACUGAAGAAACAAUUAAUAAAUGGGACCUCCUGAAACUGAAAACCUUCUAGAAAGCAAAGGACAUGGUCAACAAGACAAAACGACAGCCUAGAGAAAGGGAAAAGAUCUUCACUAACCCAACAUCAGAGGUCUGAUCUCCAAAAUAUACGAAGAACUCAAGAAAUUGGAUACCAAAAGAUCACAUAAUCCAAUAAAAAAAGUGGAGUACAGAGAAUUUUCAACAGAGGAAUCUAAAAUGGCUGAAAGACACUUAAGGAAAUGUUUAACAUCCUUAGUCAUCAGAGAAAUUCAAAUCAAAACAACUCUGAGAUUUCAUCUUACACCUGUAAGAAUGGCCAAGAGCAAAAACACUGAUGACAACUUAUGCUGGAGAGGUUAUGGGGAAAAGGGAACACUUUUGCAUUGCUGGUGGGAAUGCAAGUUGGUACAGCCCCUUUGGAUGUCAGUGUGGCGAUUUCUCAGAAAAUUAGGAAACAACCUUCCUCAAGACCCAAAAAUACCACUUUUGGGUAUAUACCCAAAGGAUGCUAAAUCGUGCCACAAGGGCAUGUGCUCAACUAUGUUCAUAGCAGCUUUGUUUGUCAAAGCCAGAAACUGGAAACAACCUAAAUGCCCCUCGAGCAAAGAAUGGAUAAGGAAAAUAUGGUAUACUACACAAUGGAGUACUACACAGCAAAAAAAAUAACAACAGCUUGAAUUUUGCAGGAAAAUGGAUGGAGCUAGAAAACGUUAUUUUGAGUGCGGUAACCCAGACACAGAAAGACAAUUAUCACAAGUACUCACUCAUAGGUGGUUUUUAAACAUAAAGCAAAGAAAACCAGCCUACAAACCACAAUCACAGAGAACUUAGACAACAACAAUGUAGACACUAAGGAGACUUACACAGAUCUAUUCUACCUGGGAAGUAGAAUGUAGAAAAAGAUAAGAUCUCCUGAGUAAAUUGGGAGUAUGGGGACCUUGGGGGUAGGGCUGAACAGGGGAGGGGAGAGGCAGGGAGGGGAGCAGAGAAAAAUGUAGAGCUCAAUAAAUAUCAGUAAAGUAAAAAAAUAAAAAUAAAUGGGACUGAGAUUGAAGUAAUAUUGGAUUCUGGUGCUGACAUAUCUAUAAUUCUCAAGAAUCCUGGGAUCCCAGCUGAUCUUUGCAGGAAGUCUCUACUCAGUUUGUAGGCACUGGAACCUUAUCACAGGUAAAGCAGAAUUAAGAGUAGAUUAAAUAUGUAGGACUAGAAGGACAAAGAGGGAUGCUAAAGCCUUAAUGUAGCCGAUGGACUUAUGGAGGGAGAGAUUUAUUUAUUAUAACAAUGGGGAACUCAAAUUAAUAUUCCUCCAGUUUCAGAGACAGCUUGCAAAAUGAUGUCAAAAAUGGAGUAUGUUCCUGGAAAAGGUCUUGGAAAAAAUUGUCAGGGAAAAUCACAGACUAUACAGAUUGUCCACUGCCAGGACAAAUAGGAACUAGCUAUUCAUAUGGAGUAGGGGCCACUGCCAACUCUUCUGCCUUUGAAAGGGUCGACUAGUAAGCCGGUGUGGGUAGAACAGUGGCCCUUAACUAAAGAGAAAUCUCAGGCGCUUGAAGAACUGGUAAAAGUACAGUUAGAAGCUCAGCACAUUGAGGAAAUUACUAACCCUUGGAAUUCUCCUGUGUUUGUAAUAAAAAAGAAAUCUGGAAAAUGGGGAAUGUUAACCAAUCUAAGAGCUAUUAAUAAGAUAAUUCAACCUAUGGGAUCUUUAUGGCCUGGAAUUUCUUUACCUUACUUAUUAUCUAAAGACUGGCCUAUUGUAGUUAUGAAUUUGCAGGAUUUCUGUUUACUGUUUUUUUUUUUACAAGAACAGGAUAGAGAAAAAUUUGCUCUUACAGUUUCUGCUGUAAACAAUGCCCAGCCAGGGAGAUGAUUUCAUUGGAAUAUCCUACCACAGGGAAUACUAAAUAGCCCAACUUUGUGCCAAUAUUUUGUAAAUCAACCAGUGAAAGUGGUACAUAAACAAUUUUCUCACUCUAUUAUAUAUCAUUAAAUGGAUGAUAUUGUAUUGAUUGCUUCUGAUACAGAUACCUUAGGAAAAAUAUUUAAUAUAGUACAGAAAAUCUUACCCUGUUGGGGAUUUCAGAUGUCUCCUGAACAAACAAACAAAAACAAUGGGGAUAUUAUUUAAACUACUUAAGAGUUAAAUGAAAUAAACAAAAAAUUCAGCCACAAAAGAUACAGAUUAGAAGGUAUCAAUUUUAUACUCAAUGAUUUAAAAAAAUUAUUUGGUGAUAUUAACUAGUUGCUGCCGACUUUUGGAUUAUCUACCCAGGAAUUGAGUAAUUUGUUUCAAACUUUGCAAGGUGACUCAGAUUUACACAGUCUAAGACAGUUAACAGCUGAGGCUGGAAGGCAGUUAGCCCAGGGAGAACACAAACUACAAAUGCCCAAGGGAUUGAUUGAAUCUCACAACUGAAUAAAUUUUAGUAAUUCUGCCUUCCAAUCAUUCCCCUACUGGACUCAUCAUCCAGAGGAAGGAUAAUAUUUUGAAAUGAAUUUUUCUAGAUCACAAACAGUCUAAAAAAUCAAAGACCUAUACAAAGAAAGUUUCUGAACUAAUUUUAAAAGGAAGAAUAAGACUUCGUCAAUUGUUAGGUAUGGAUCCAGCUGAGAUUGUGGUACCCUAUACUAAUGCUGAAAUUGUGCAAUUGUGGGAGAUUAAUGACGAUUGGCAAAGAACUUGUAGUAAUUUCUUAGGAGAAAUUAGCAACAAAUAUUCAAAAAGUAAGUGGAUUCAGUUUAUAAAAGAACGGAAUGGAUUCUUCCCUGCAUAGUGAAAAGGGCACCUAUUUCUGGGGCUCUUACAUCGUAUACUGAAGCAAAUAAAUUAUGAAUGGCUGUUUAUAAAGCAGGAAAUAUCAGUUAAGUAAUUCAAAGUCCACAUGACUCAGUUCAAAAAUCAGAGUUAUAGGCCAUUCUGAUGGUUUUAUUAGCUUUUAAUGAAUAACUACUGAUUCUCAAUAUGCAGAAAGUGUUGUAUUGCAUAUAGAAACAAUUGCACUUAUUCCUGGUAAUUCAGAAUUAACUUAUACUCCUACAACAGGCAAUCCGAGAAGGAAAUUCACACUUUAUAUUACCCGUAUUCAGUCUCAUAGGGGAUUGCCUGGGCCAUUAGCAAAUGGAAAUAAAGAAAGUGAUCAAUUAUUGAUAGAAAAAUGUUGGAAGCUUCAAAAUUUCUUAAGAAACAUCAUAUUAAUACUAGGGGCUUAAAAAAAUGUUCCACUGGGCAGGAGAGAAACCUCAGACAACAAAUGGAGCCCACAAAUGGACAACUGCAUCCACACAAAGCCUGAGAGAGUUUGGGAAGUAAUCAUAGACAGAAAAGAAUAGAGUAAAGCAUGGCUUCUUGAUAGCAGCAUUUUCUCAGGUGGGCUCUGUUUGCUAGAGGCAAAUGAGUCUAUAAAAAAUUAGGAUUCUUAGACCCUGAGGCAAAAGGCUCAUUCUCCUGUGAAGACUUCUCACUGAGAUCUGUUAGGCUCAACCUUUUCUUUCCUUUCUCUCCAAAAGUACAAAUAAAAAUAUCUCCAUGGCUCUUAACUUCAUGUGCAGAGAUCUAGGUUUUACAGGACCUAACAUUUACAAAUACCUCUUUAAUAAAAAGAAUACAAGUGCCUAAGUACAAAAUUAAAUAAAUAUUUUUGCUGCUGUGGUUUUGAGACAGGCUUUCACACCAGAAUUCACCUUAUAGCCCAGACUGGCCUUGGUGAUAGGCUUAUCUCAGCCAGCUAAAUUCUAAGAUUCCAGAUAUGAACCACCAUGCUCAGAUCUAUUUUUUUUCAAGCCAGGGUUUCUCUGUGUAGCCCUGGCUUUCCUGGACCUAGUUCUGUAGACCAGGAUGGCCUCAAGCUUAGAGAUCCCCUGCCUCUGCCUCCUGAGUGCUGGGAUUAAAAGUGAUCACUAACACUACUCAACUAAAUAAAUUUUUAAUGGAAAAAGUCUACAAAUUGUUGGAAGCCGGAGAAAUGGAGCUUAUGGAGUACAGCUCAUCUGAGAACACAGCUAAGAUAAGUGCACCCCAAGAGGCACCCAACUCCAGGGUUGGUCUCCAGAACUCCCCUCAGUCCUGCUGUGCCUUCUGUUUGCUGCUGUUGUGUUCUUACUGUAUUUGGCACGGUAUUGCUACUAUGUGAAAACAUCCCACUGUAUCUAGUAUACUGUGUUUGUUUCAUGGGAAAAUUACACUCCUCACUGGGCAACUUACUAGCAGAUCAUAAUGAAGAUGAUUUUUACAAGAACAAUGAUGCUUAGUUGGAUCAAUCAUUUAGUUGAACUUUUUGAGUCAAAGAAGAUACAGGUAGUUAAGACAGUUAGUGAAGAUGAUUAGGAAAAUGGUUUAGAUUAUUCUGCCAGUCACUCCAAUGAGAGAUACAAAAGACAAAAAUAAGAUUAGAAGUCACCCCCAUUUUUCGAGAUGUGAGACUUGCUGAGGAUGGAAACUAAGAACAAGGAAGUUUUGUGCAUUGUGGACCCAUAAGUGCUGUAUAUGGAGAAACAGGCUGAUGGUCAAAGAAAGCAAUUCUGUCCCUGCACACAAGGUCAGGUCGGGUUCCUUGGUCAUGGAGCUUACAGAAUUAAUCGCAGGUUUCUGGAUGCACCUUGAAUAAAGCAAAGUUGGGAGAGGAAAUUAAACUGCUCUCUUGUGUCUAGAGAAAAAAGAAACAUAGAUGGUUAGCUAGACCAUUUGUUUAAGGUUUUGUAGAGAAGAAAUAGGCCAGGAAUCUGCUGCACUGAAACCACAAACAGCUGCCUGCUGGAACAAAGGAACUGGCUGAAAUACACUUGGCUUGCUUAGAACUUUGUUAAUCAACAAUAAAAGAAUCAUUGCUUCAGGGUGAAGAUGUCAUGGUGGGAAAAUUAAUACAAAGCAAAAUGUUUAACUGCUUGUGGGCUUGUAAGAAAAAAUGUAACUCGUGAUCAUAAUGUGAUUUUCUCUCGUGUAAAGAUUUUAAUUUGCUUUUAGAAAACAUGUAACUGUUGGUAGUGAGGUAAUCUCUUCUGGUGUAUAGACUUUUGUCUUAGGUGGUAUAAAAGGGAUAAGAGAAAAAUACAGAAGAAAGAAAAAUAAAAAAAUCAGCUUUGUCCCUCAGAGAAGCCUCCUGUGUGUUUAUUAGUGUCUGCUUGGUUGGAAGUGGCACCCCAGCCCCUGGCAUCCAUAUACCCAAAGAGUAUGGAAUAUCUGGGUGGAAAGUUCCAUCCCAAGCCCCUUCACCUUGGAGCUGCCUCAGUCCAGACUCUACCUCUGAGAAAGCCUGCCAAUCGAUGACCCCUCCCCAGAGAUGCUCAAGACUACUCCCACAGGGCAUUUAAACUGCCCCCAGAGAACAA